rnacentral:rRNA from 1 species
UACGAAGGGGGCGAGCGUUGUUCGGAUUUACUGGGCGUAAAGGGCGCGCAGGCGGCCAUUCAAGUCAGGCGUGAAAGCCCCGGGCUUAACCUGGGAGGUGCGUCUGGGACUGGGUGGCUGGAGAUCGGGAGAGGAGAGUGGAAUUCCCAGUGUAGAGGUGAAAUUCGUAGAUAUUCGCAAGAACACCAGUGGCGAAGGCGGCUCACUGGCCCGAUACUGACGCUGAGGCACGAAAGCGUGGGGAGCAAACAGG